rnacentral:rRNA from 1 species
CCCUUAGAUGUUCUGGGCCGCACGCGCGUUACACUGAUGCAUUCAACGAGUUCUUCCUUGGCCGAGAGGCCUGGGCAAUCUUGUUAACGUGCAUCGUGAUAGGGAUAGAUUAUUGAAAUUAUUAAUCUUGAACGAGGAAUUCCUAGUAAACGCAGAUCAUCAAUCUGCAUUGAUUACGUCCCUGCCCUUUGUACACACCGCCCGUCGCACCUACCGAUUGGAUGGUCCGGUGAAGCCUCGGGAUUGUGGUUCUUGCCGCUUUAUUGUGGCGUGACCGCGAGAACUUGUCUAAACCUUAUCAUCUAGAGGAAGGUGAAGUCGUAACA